rnacentral:lncRNA from 1 species
GUAAGAUUGUUGAUGCCUUUUCUCCCUCAGCAGCCUCCACGGCACCUUAAGGCACCGUGAAAACUAGCCAGCAGCAAAGAAACUUCCAGAUUAGUGCCAGCGUGAUUUACCCAAGUUCCGUACCCAACGUGUGGGCCUUACAAUCAUGCUCUAGUAGGUAACCAAGAGCACCUGCAAUAAACUGUAUUGUGUUGAGGGUUUCUGGGACCCCUAGCAACUCUGUAGGGUCUCCCCACACCUGCCCCUGGGUUUUUUGUUUGAUAAGGUAAGGCUUCUUGGAGGAGCACCAUCCCUCUGCAUAGGGUAAUUAGAUGAAUAUCAGUUGUAGGAUGGAUGAUAAGUCUGAGCUACAUAUACCUAAUGGAAUUUUAUUUAUCUGUAAGGAAAAAUGAAAUUGUGAACUUUGUAUGCAAACUGGUCAGUAUAACUUUACUAAUUACUAUUCUAGUUUAAUGUAUUUUUUAUAGUUUUACUAACCCAGACCCAGAAAAUAAACACAUUUUCUUUCUCAUAUGUCGAUCCUAGCUCUGAAUCUGUAGAUCAGGUUUAGCAUCGAGUACCUGUAGCAGCCAAGAGACUAGAACGAGGAACCCUUAGGAGAGGAGAAAGUGCAUCAGGGGGGAGGACAGACAGUAUGAUGUGGGGGUCAAGGGGGGGAGCUUAAGUGGGGAGGGGCAGGGAAGAGUACAACAGACACAAAGGAAGAGAGGUAACACUAAGGAUGUGUGGAAAAGUCACAUGGAAACCUACUCUGUUAUAAGCUUCUUGUUUGUUUGUUUGUUUUCGAGACAGAGUUUCUCUGUAUAGCCCUGGCUGUCCUAGAACUCACUUUGUAGACCAGGCUGGCCUCGAACUCAGAAAUCUGCCUGCCUCUGCCUCUGCCUCCCAAGUGCUGGGAUUAAAGGAGUCAGCCACCACCGCCCGGCUAUAAGCUUCUUAAUAUGUGUAUAUUUUUAAAAUGUACUUAUUUUGAUUUUAUGUGUGUGGCUCUUCUGCUUGCAUAUAUGUCCAUAUAUCACAUGCAUACAAUACAAGCAGAGACCAGAAGAGGGAAGUCAGAUUCCCUGGGGUUGUGGUGAUACACAGUUGUGAUCUGCCAUGUGGCAACUGGGCUCAAACUCGAGUCCUCUGUAAGAGCAGCCAGUGCUCUGAACCACGGAGCCACCUUUCCAGCACGCACUCACAUGCACGCAUGCACACACGUGCGCGUACACACACAUAUUUACAUUUUUUUAAAUUGGAGCUGUGUUCUAGUGGCCCAGCAUUCCUCGUGGCCUUCCACUGCCUGCCAGGAGAUUAUGAUGUCUUGGGGAUUCUGAUUCCAGAGGUGUGGAAUGAGGGGCUCCCCUUGUUAAGAAACAGCCACACCUUUCUGGUGCUGUGGUUGAGACUAUCAACAGAAUUAGAUUCUGUAGGAAAAUGUGAGUUCAAUAAGUCUGUCUGUCCUCGGGCUACAAAAGGCUCCAGAUGGACUGAGAUGUGAGAGUGAGUGAGUGAGUGUGUGUGUGUGUGUGUGUUCUCUCUCAAUCUCUCUCUCUCCCUCCCCUCCCCCUCCCUCUCCCUCCUCCUCUUCUCUUCCCUCCCUUCCCUUCUCUCUUUCUCUCAAACCCUUCCAUACCUCAGUCUAAGAUAAUUUGUUGAGGGACUGUGUGCAUUUUCAGAGUAUAAGAAAUCCCUUGACUUAGAAGGCUGUUGUCAGGACUGAGACAGAAGAUGGGCGUGUGAAUCAUUUAUGUACUGACGGACACGUUGCAUCCCGUGGCGCCUCUCUUCUGACCUGUCUGGUAGACUAUGCUGUAAACUGAAAAGUGUGGUUGUGCUGAGGAAUCAGGCUACGUGCUUCUGCUUCCACGGAGAACAGUAAUGCAGGCUCUCUCUAGGCAGAGUGGGUUCAAAUCCCAUCCCUACUACUGUCUCAACUGCUAGACCUUAACAAAUCACCAUUUGUACAUAGGUUUCUGCUCUGCGGAAUGGGGAUGGAAUCAUACCUACAUCGUAGCCAUUGUUAAUGAGCUUUGUGUGGCCUUGCUUAACGUAUAGUUAGUUCCUUUUUUUAAUCUUUAUUUAUUAUUUAUUUUAUGUUGUGAGUACACUGUCACUGUCUUGAGACACAUCGGAAGAGGGCAUCGGAUCCUGUUACAGAUGAUUGUGAGCUACCAUGUGGUUGCUGGGAUUUGAACUCAGGACCUUUGGAAGAGCAGUCAGUGCUCUUACCCGCUGAACCAUCUCUCCAGCCCUAGUUAGUUCUUUUAGCCAAAACCUAAGACUGCCAUACAGAGAGCCCUGUGGCACCCAAGACAAGCACCAGAGCUGGCUGACUGCAAGAUGACAGAAGUCACAUGACUGCCAGCAUUUUAGGUUUUCUCCACCUCUCUCAAUUCCAGAGGCUUUGGGUUCUCUGCAGAGAGAUUGAGCAGACCAUGCAAUCAAGGACACCUUCAGACAUCCCAGGCCCAUUUCCUUCUCUUUGUCUUCAUCCCUCUGCUUCAAGAAAUCACAGAAAUUAUGUAGUAAAAAUGAAACAUUUAAGGACGUCUGCUUCCUGCAGGCCCUUUUCCCAUUGGAACCUGAGUGUGACGUGUUUUAUGCAGUCAGAAUGUAUAAAGUGGUCACAAUGACAGUGUAUAUUGUCCUUUUUUUCUCAGCAUUUUAUUGUAUAAAUUUUACAAUAUACAGAAAAAUCAAAAUAACCAUAUGCCGGAUCUCCAUAUAUAGAAGAUUUUAAAAGGAAAACCAAUAAGAACAAACCAUGGACUGAGUAAUAAUAACCUAAAAAGAAUGUGUAGGACAGCGCAGCUGACACACACCCCGCCUCCCAGAUGCGAUGCGAGCUGGUGUUUGCUCUUUUUCCAUGCUCUACUUUGGGGAACGUUUAAGAGAGAGAGAUAUCGGUACGGGACCAUCCCCUGGAGUGUAAGCAACCCCCAGAACUCAUACCCUUCAUUUUUAAAAAUAGUUUCCCUCCAUCCAUUUCCAGAGGAAAUAUUUCUGUCCCUGUAUUCUCUUUUAUGUUUUUGUAUACCAUUUAUCUUUGAAAUGUUUUUCUGAAAGUAUAUUUUCAUAGGAGAAUGUUUUUAGCUUCAAAACAUUUCACACACACACACACACACACACACACACACACACACACCCCUACACCUGUAUUAGCUAGUAAGUCUGCCAUAACAAAUGCCAUCAAUUAGUUGGCUUAAGUAACAGAAAUUUAUUUCCGCAAAUAUUUGGAAGCUGGAAAUCCUAUGCCAAGGUUUAAUCGUAUGCAGGGCUGGUUUCUGGUGAGGUUUCUCCCCCUGCCUUGAACAAAUUGGUGAUAAGAAGACGGAAACCCCACGUACAAGCAGCAUCGCUAGGGCUUCCAGAAAUUACCAGAAGGUUUGCUUCAGCUG